rnacentral:lncRNA from 1 species
CUUAUGCCUCCUUUAUGAAAGGGAACCUGUUGUUUGAACAAGAUCGAAAUUGGGACACAGCAUUACUGAACUUCAAAAGUGCCAGGUGCAUUUUUGUCUAGUGUUAUAUACAUUUUUUUCGAAUUUUCUUGCUGCUUAUAUUGGAAGCAUUUCAAUGUCUAGUUGAUAACCAAGUAACACCUAAAAGUAUGAAAAAACAAAUCACUACUACUGUGCCGCAAAUAAUGCAAUGUCUUCACAUCUUUCCUGUCAUAUCCAUUAUGAGCAAUGAGAGCUUUAACCUUCUAAUUACUCCUUCAGAAGCUCUCUCAAUUUUUCUUCUGUAGAUAGUCUUACCUAUUUGAACUAGGGUAUAUAUAAAAAAUUGAACAUCUAAAAUAUUCACCAGAAAGAAAGAAAAUAGUAUUUCACAUUGAGCCUUCUGUACUAAAAUUCUGUAUGAACACUAACAGGAUUUUGGGUAUGUAUGUACAGAGUUGAUUAUUCUUUUGGUCAGUGAAUAUAGUUUGGUUAACUUUGUACUUAUGUUUUUGGGCGGUUUAUUAGGAACUUGCGAAAUAUGGAGACCUGGAGAAUCAAGUUUUGUGCCGUGAGCGUGUUGAGGAAUUAGAACCUAGUAUCCGGUACUGUCUACACAAGGUUGGAGAGUCAAAUCUACAAGGCUCUGAACUUCUACAUAUUGGUGAAAUGGAAGGACCUGCUUUGGACCUAUUUAAGGCUAAACUGGAGGUAUAAUAAUUUGUCAGUUGUGUACUACUAGAUGUGAUGCUUUUUCAUUCUUUGAUCUGUCUUAGGCUUCUUGUUGUUUUAUUACUAAUGAAAUUAUUUGCAGGCUGUCAUGGAUGAGGCAAGAUCUCAACAGGCUGCCUCCAUGACAGAAUUUCAUUGGCUAGUUCAUAGAUUUCAAUUUCUAAUGCAAAAACUUGGGUUUCCAUAUUGAAAGGUCAGUAAUCUCUUUUUUAGAACUCCAACACGACAGCUUUUAUCUUAUCCGUUUCAAUUAUCUUUCUUCAGUUCAUAGAUGACAUUAAGGAAUUGAUAUAUCUUGAUAUUCAUACGAUCUGUCUGUAUACAUUGAUCAAUUAGUUAUACUUUGGAGUUUUAUUUGACAUAAGAAAGUUAGCUGUAAAGACUGUCAGAUUUACUGAAACAAUAUAAUGGAUCCGAGAACCACAAAAAUGAACUCUUCAUUUAAUAGUAAACUGUCAUGUUGUUUAGAUAAUGUUCUGAUGCAAAUGUAUAGCCUGAAUCGGAUACUGGUUAAAAAUUCAUAUGAAGACUACUUCAUUUCACUAGAGUAAUCUUAAACAUUUUUGGUAUGCAACCUAAGAAGUUUAUUUCAUUCGGAUGAAAAAUUGGCUAAUGAUUCAUUUUGUGAAGCUUCUUCUUUCUUUCUGCUCGGUAGAAUCCCAAUAUUGAUUCAAAUUUUGUUUGGAUGACAAAAUUUUUCAGCUCAAGAUUUGGAGAAAGAUAUACUUGGUUCAUCACUCAAUUGUCACUCAAUUGUCUUUUGCAGACGGAGAAAGUUGUUGCAGAAUCACUGGCUUGCAUGACAGAGCCAUCACAAGCUGGUUGCAAGAGUGUAGUAACCAAGUUUCAACAGGCAAAUUAUAAUGACCCCUUUUUACUCUAGUGUUGGGCUGUUUCACUCCACACCUAGUACACGCUGACAUAUAUUCUUUCUUUUGGUCUCAUUGUUCAAUUAUAUUCUGUUUCAGUGUCCCCUUCUGAACAUUAGCUAUUGUUCAAUUAUAUUCCCAUCAGAAGUUCGUCUUUCAAAGGGGAAAGACCUGGUGAGCGAUAGUUUUAUGAUGACAGCUUCUCCUUUUUUUUAUGAUCAAGAAAAAUCUGUCAUGUUUUCUUGUUAAUGUUAAUUUCAUGAUGUAUUCGCUUUGUAGGUUAUAGUUGUCUAUAAUUCUCUGGGAAGGAAAAGAAAGGAUGUGAUACAGAUUCCUGCAAGUAAUUAGUUUCUACUAUGUUUAGUUUUGAACACUUGGUUUGAUAUUUUGACUGAAUGAUCUCAUCUUACUGACAUUGUACAGGUUGUCAGUGAACAUGUCACUGUAAAGGACUCCGCAGGAAAAGAAAUUGAAUCACAGAUUCUACCCCUGCUUAAUGAAUCCCUGAGCAUAAGAAACAACCUUGUUAAGGCAUAUCUGGGUAUAUCUCCGAGUGAGACCUCAAGUUAUUGGCUUGCAUUUUCAGCAACUGUACCACCUCUUGGCUUUAGCACUUACAUUAUCUCAAGUUCCAAACACACAGGUUAGCCAUUUGAAUUUUUAAUUUGUUUGAUACUCAUGCAAUAUAUAGGAAAGAUUAGUUCUGCAUAAUUUCUUAGAUUCUGUUUCAUAGGCUACCUUGCAAUUGCUGCUACUACUUCAGAGAGACUUACAUUGCACAAGACAGAACCAAGUCAAAACGAUGAAAUCAAAGUUGGGCCAGGGAACUUGAAACUCAUUUAUUCUGGAAAUGAUGGAAAACUUAUUGAAUACACAAACAGCAAAAGCUCAGUAUGUGUUUUGGCUGACAUUCUCAUUUUCAAUUCAAGUAUUUUUCUCUGACAACUUUUUCUCUGAUACUUGUUGUGUUGUUUCCAUGAAAAUCCUUUCUCAAAACCGUUUUGAUUUUGUUUAUAACUACAUAUUGUGUGCAUCUGAAUUUCUGGAUCAUGUUUAUAAUUGAAGGUUAAAAAGAGUCUGUAGAUCAAUCAUUUAGCUACUACCCAGGAGACGAUGGAACACAUGCAAAUAAAUCUGAUUUACAGGUAACAUUGGCCAUUGGUUAUUUUCUUAAUGUCAAUCAGUCACGAUUGUAUUGCGGUUGAGAGACAUUUUAAAUGUGUGUGUAUUUAACGAAGACUAACAUUCUGACAUUCCGUCAAUUUUCUGUUGAAGGCCUCUGGAGCUUAUAUCUUCCGUCCUAAUGGUACAUAUCCCAUUAACUCUGAAGGGGAGGUUUGACAUGAUAUCUUCUGUAAGACUGGGAUAUGUUUUUGCAAUCAUAGUGAAAAUUACAGGAAUUACCAUUAUAAUUUUCAGGUUUCUCCUACUGUUUUGAGGGGUCCAUUGUUAGAUGAAGUACAUCAGCGGAUCAAUGUACUCUUGGAUAUAUCAUGUAGUUAUCUAGUAUAUGUAGGAUGGAAUGCUGCUAUUUCUGCUUUGCAACUGUGCUGUUUUGAACUUUUGAUCAUGUAAUUGUUAAAGCUUGCAAAGUUGAAUGUAAAAUGGAAUCAAUCAAUCAGUUUUGUUUUUUUAUUAUGACACUCGCCUCCGUUUACAAACACUCAAUGUCAUGGUGCAAUCUUCAGACCCCUAUAUUGAGGCCAUGCCCCCAAUGCAUGCGAGGGUCAAGGCUUUCAAGGGCGGACCAGAAAAGCCUCAAUAAGAAGUAUGCCAUUCCAAAGUGCACUCCCACCUGCCACACAUAGUCUGCAGUGAAGUGAUACGCUCGAUUGAUUCGGUUGAAGGCAUUAUCCUCUCUCAUCUCGGCGGCGCGUUCCUCCUGAGCACCUCGGAUCAUGUUAUCGAGUUCAGUGCGUGGGCGCAUCGGCUGCUGCUGCAGUGCUGCUGCCGCUGCUGCUGGAUUGAGGGGAACUGGUGGCGCGUUCGGGAUGUCUGUAAAACUGGCGAUGCAGUUUCUCACAAAGAGUAUCACCGACCAGACUAGGAUUCCAAUUGUUAUAAUACCGAAAAAUGCAUUCAGCACCUUCGAGACAGUGUUAAUCCGGAGUUCCGCCUCUACCUCCUUUCUGCAACCACCGGCAAAGAAGCCCGGGCGGCGUCGCAACCGCAUCGAUCGGAGGAGGUGGACCUUGAAGGACGGCGUAUCUAAGAUACUGGGCCUGAUUACCACAGAAUCGCCAUUCACAACAGGCUCGCCGUCCACCUUGGUUAACCGGAGCUUCUUCCCUUCGGCAAAUGUAUCAAGAUCGCUCUGGUCAGCCAUAUCCAGCAGAUCUUGGAAGCUCAUCAACUUUGGCACGACGCGCCACCUGAACAACAAAGAAUAGUCGGAAGUAACAUUCGCGAACUCCUCCACCGCGUCAUCGACCUCAGCAAAAAGGGUCGACCCGGUUAACUCUGCAAGUUGUGCUUCGAAGAACGCGGCAAAAAUUGAGCAGUCUCUGGAUCGGAGGACGUCCGCAACGAAGCCACCGAAGCCGCCGAACCGGACUUCUUGAACAUCAACAUCGUAGCCACACCGUAAAUCACCACUGAACCGUCAUCAUAGAUCGGGUCCGGGUCGACCCGGACCCCAUUAACCGAGAUGUUGCCCUCGGCGGCAAGUGAUGACGUCACCGUCAGAGUAUAAUCGGGGCGCAGAGUCUCGAUCGUCGUCCCCCGGGUUAGGGUUCCGAUGGAGAGGUGUCGUGGCGAUACGUGCAACCGGAGGAGUGGGAGGGAGGGAGGGCCGGACUGGACGAAGGCGGUCUCCGGCGGAGUGAAGACCGUCGCUGUCGGAGAGCCGAGGGCGAGGCCGGCACUGGCGGCGAGCUGGAGAGAGAGCCCCAUGGAAAGGUGUCCGGAGUCUGAUAGGGUUUUAGCCGCGGCGACGAGCGUUUCGGCGAGGCAAGGCACGGCGGGCGAAGCGGCGGGGGUCAACGCCGCGACCGGAGAAGCCACGGCGGAGGAGGAAGCGGGACAGAGGGAGAUGAUCAGAACAACAACAACAAAGGAGGAGGUGUAGAUCGUAAAGGCUUUCAUCUUUUCUCUUCUUCUUUUUUUCACAAAUAUUUUGGCGUAGGGAUUUUGGUUUUCUUUUUUCUCUUGAAUUUUAGGGCUUGAAGAAUCGAUUUGGGGGGGGUUUGGGGGUUUUAAGCUGAAGUAGAGAGAGAGGAGUGGGAAGGCGGGAAAAUAAAGGAAUCGGGUCGGUGGGUCUAGCGGUUAGUUUGUUAGGCGCGUGCGUAUAACUCUCCUUUCACUAGCGCGUGUCUCGGGGCGAGAGCGAGAGCGAGAGCGAGGCUAGUGUGAGUGUGACUGUGUGAGUCUGUUUUUCGAUGAGACAAUUUACUUUUUUUUUUUUUUUAGUAAUUACUAAUUUUUUUCUAGAGAGGAAAAUAGUUACUAGUUCAUAUACAUUAUGCUUGAAAUAAAACAUUAUGCUUGAAAUAAAACUGUCGUUAUCUUAAGAAAUAAAAGUAUAAUUUGUCAAUCAUAUGACAAAAUUCUUGCAUGAUGAUUUGGUUCACAAGUCAUCGGUAGCCGUCACGUUUUAUAUUUGAUAGCAAAUUGUCUUGUAAGAUGACUUACGCGACACAUUUAAUCUUUGAUCAUUACUUGAUAUUUACGGAACACUCGUAUGAUGAAAAAACUGUGAUAAAUAAUAAAACAAUUUUAUCCCUUCCUUCCAAACGACAGAGAGGGGUUUAUUAAAAAAAAAAAAUGACAAGACGGGGUUCUAAUGAGGACCGUAAAGUUGAUGAUUAAUUGAGGACUUUAUCAUUAAUGAUUUAUUAUACCCACUUUUCAAUCACAUUUUAUUAUCUCAACCGUUUAGUUUUUACUUUUUAGGUCUAUAUAAGUAGAUAAUUUUUACAAAUUUUCAGCCAAACCGGUGAUAGCUAAGAAGUCGCAAUUCGAUCAUAUUUUCUCAUCUUAACCGUUCAGUGUUUAGAUAUAUAUAAGUAGAUCAUAUCUGCAAGAUUUAAGCUAAUUUGGUGAUUGUUAAGCCAUUUAAAAUUGUGACUUACCAUUAAGAGCACAAACGGUUCAGGUUUAACAGUUUCAAUUCGUUCAUUUAUUUUUAUACAUUUUCGAGCAGUUAACAAUUACCAAAUUAGCCGAAUUUUUGUAGAGAUGAUAUACCUAGAUAAUGAACGGUUAAGAUAAGAAAAUAUAAUUAAAAGUGAGUCAAAAUAAGAAAAUUCACACCAUAGUUAAGUUAAGAAUUUUCUUAGUGGAGAAAGACUGUGUGUGUGUAGAGCCCUUCCACUAAGAGAUCUCUUUAUGUGACUUAUACGAGGGAUGUGAUUUUACACCGACUUUUUGAUCGCAUUUUUUCAUCUCCAUCGUUCAAUUUAUAAAUCUAUAUGAGUAGAUUAUUUAUGGAAAUUUUCAGCCACGUUGGAGAUCAUUAAGGAGCUCAAAAAUACAAUUUGCAUGCACGGUUUAGGUUUGGCAGAUUUGAUCCGUCCAUUAAUUUAGCUAGAUCGAGACCUUAACGAUCAUCAAUGUGCUGAAAAUUUCCAUAAAUGAGACUUGUAAAUUGAACGGUAGAGAUGGGAAAAUGCGAUCGAAAAGUUGGUGUAAAACCUCGACCUUUAUAUAAGUCACAAAAAAAGAUCCCUUAGUGGAAGGACCUUCUAUCUAUAUAUAUAAUUCAUAUCAAGGGCGGGACACCGCUUUAAAAUUAAAGUGUAGAGCUCCUUAUUUAGCUCAUUUUUAAGUGACAUUUUCAUAUCUCAACCGUUUAGCGUCUUUAACAUACAGGGUCGGCCUUGUGUCGAGAAAGGCUCAAGGCAAGAAAAUUUUUGAGGCCCUAAAACAACAACUAUGCUUUUUUUCAAAAACUCUUGACAUCAACACGAAAUCAAAGAGUAUGUGUUUUUCAAAAUCCAAACAUAGCAGAGCAUCUACAAACACUUAAAAGAGGAUGUGAUUAUGUGAAAUCGACAAACAAUUCAAACUUCAAAAUUUCAUAAUUAUCAUAUAUUCAUAUUCAAUGUUCAACAAAUCAAAUCAAGAAACACUAAGGGAAAAUCACAAUUUCUUCAAAGUAGAAAAGAAAUAUCUUCAAAGAAGAAAGAAUAAAAAAUCAUACCCUUUUAGAUUGAUAUAAUUGAGUUGUGUUGCUCUUUCCGUCAAGUUUGCUACUUUUUUUUUUUUUUUUUUUUUUUCCUAUUUCUUCUAUUCUUCUAUGAGCAAAAGAAGAGACGCACACACGUUUAAUUGUUUUGGACUAUGCGUAAAGAAGAGACGCACAUGUCUUCUUCAAUCCAUUUUUUUUUCACUAUAGGUUUAUACAUAAAAUAAAAAAGUUGAGGCCCCCAAAUUUUGAGGCCCAAAACCCUUGCCUGGUCCGUCUUGCCCCAGGGCCGGGUCUGUUAACAUAGUGUGUAGAACUGUAGAUUAUUCCUACCGAAUUAGACUAAAUGAAUCAACUGAACAAAAUAUGUCCAAACAAAACUAUUCGUGUAAAUCGCAAUUACGGAAACUCAAAUGAAUUUCAAAUUAUAUGAAACUUUGCAAGAACGAUCUACACACUAUAUUCCAGACACUAAACGGUGGAGAUAAAAAAUGUGACCUAAAAAUGAGUCAAAUAAAGAGUCCUACACUUUCAUUUCAAAGCGGUCUCCCACUCUGGAUAGGAACUGUAUAUAUUUAUGGGGGCUAAAAUCUACACACCCAUGUCCCACUUUUUAUAAGAAAAUAUCUAAAAUGUCACUAUCUUAGACAACUUGAAAAGAUUAAAACAUGAAUGGUUGGACAUUUCCUUAUAAAAAAUGGGGUAGGGGUGUGUGGAUUGUAAAAAGGGGUGUGUAAAUUUCACUCCCCAUAUUUAUAUGUAUAUAUAGGCCUUUUCAGAUACAAGCAUCUUUAUUUAUUCAAAAGGUACAUAUUUUCUUAAUUUGACCCACUUUUCGAUCAUAUUUUCUCAUCUUAACUGUUCACGUUGUAGGUAUAUAUGAGUAGAUCAUCUCUAAAAAUUUUUAGCUAAUUUGGAGAUCAUUAAGGUAUCGAAAAUGAAUUAAAUCAAUGAACGAAUUGAAACUGUUCAACCUGAACCGUUCGUGUUUUUAGUUCUAAAUCACAUAUUUGAAUGCCUUAACGAUUAUCAGUUUGGCUGAAAAUAUGUAAAGAUGAUCUGCUCAUAUAUACCUACAAUGUGAACAGUUAAGAUGAGAAAAUAUGAUCUAAAAAAGUGGAUCAAUUAAGAAAAUCCGUACAUUUUAAAUAAAUAAAGAUAUUUGGACCUGAUAAGUGUGAAGUUCUUUAUUUGAAUUAUUUUUCGGUCAUAUUUCCGCAGCUCAAUCGUUGAGUUUAUUGAUACUAAUGUAUAGAUCAUUCCAACAAAAUUUCAUCCAAAUUGAUAAUCGUUAAGGUACCAAAUUAGAUUAAAUCAAUGAACGAACCAUAAAUUUGUCUAACCAGAACUGUAUGUGUAAAUAACGAUUACGAAGACCCAAACGAUCUUCAAAUUUGAUGAAACUUUGUAUAAGUGAUCUAUGCAUUAGGUUCUACAAACUGAACGAUGAAGAUGUGGAAAUAUGACUGAAAAAUAAGUCAAAUAAGAAACUUCAUAUUUUAAUCAAAAUGAAGCUAAGAACUGUGUAUGUAUGUAUAUAUUUCUACUAUUAGAAAACGAGGCCCCUCACCGGUGUCAAAAGCUUCACCAAAAUUUUGAACUCCCCACGUUACCAUUGACAGAGAAAACAAGACUUGAAACAAAAUAAAUCAACCAUGGUUAAUACCGUAAAAAGGUCAAUAAUUGGAAGGGAAUAUAUAAAACGGAAGCGGAGAGAUUUGCCGAAGAGAAAGGAACAGGAUUAAACACGCAGUCACGAUCUGCAGUUGAUAACCGCUAGGGGCACGAACUCGAGACAAAACGGACACUAAAAACGACGUGGGAGGUUAUCGGAACACAUAUAACAUCGAACUCAGAGAGAAGAGAGAAGAGAAGAGCAAAAUCAGUCCGAGGUUUGUUUGGGUAUCUUUCCUUCGAUCAUCGAUCGUCCUCGCAUUUUGCUUUUCAAAUUUCGAUAGUUUUUUCAGACUACUCCUAGUGCAUUGCAACUGGUUUUUGUUUGGGUGUGUGCAGUUGAUCUUCUUCAACUUCAAAGCAAAAAUUGAAUUCAAAACGGGAGCAGCAAAACAAACCCGAGAAGAUUGGUUCAAUUAGAUGAGUUCGGUCUACUCUGUUAUUUUAGUCUUCAAAGAUUCAAUUUGUACGCAUUUGGGUGGGAACCAAGUCCUUCGAUCUGAAAAUUUUGUAUCUGUUUUGUUUUUCAUCGCUAUCAGGCAAAGUACAGAAGCCUCUCGCAGUGGUGAAUCCUUUAUUCUUUUUGUUUUUCGUGUUUCAUCUGUUCUGUAAAUGGUCCUGUAUUAGGAAUUACCUUUUCAACUGUCUUUAGUAUUACUUCCAUUGCUAAAGUGAAUGCUUAACUUUUUUGUGUGUGAACUGUGAACAACUCUGUUUUUUGUUUUUUCAUAAUGGAUGAUGACCAUGUCAAUGUACUUAUCUUGACCGUUGAGGAUGGAGCUAAGAAAUCUGAAAAUGAAAAUCUAUCAGCAUUGUCUAUACCUUUUGCUUUGUCUCCAGGGGAAAAGAAAAAUGCUUUUGCCUUCUUUCUAACAUCUUCUAAACACUUGAUUGAUUCUUCAAGUGUUUACAGGGACAUGACUAACACCCUCAUCUGAAUAGCUUUCAGUUCUUAGCAAAUUAAGGAUAAAGAGUAAUGGAUUCAUUUGAGUGGAUUACUAUUCGAGUGGAGUAUUCGGUUUUAAGUUACCACUUUGCUGAGCAUGUCAAUUUUCUUUUGGUUGUAAAUUAGCUUCAAAUCUGAAAGCAAAUUCAGGGGUUCAAAUUCUAUUCCUUUUUCGUUUAAUUGUACUUAAAAUGUAGUUCUGUGUACAUCUUCAUAUUAAGAUGGCCAAGUUUAAUUUUAAUCAUGUCGUUUUGUUUAUGAUAGAAGGAGAUAUGUUUACUUAUUUUAGAUAUAUAUUUUGCUUCAGUCGUUAGCAUUAAAAUGGUCAGAUGAGACUUCAUGUUACAACCCUUUCAAAAAGAUGGAUUGCUGGAACUGGAAGCGUACAGGCAAGUCUUGUUGUCCUCCUUAUGUGAUGCAUUGUUUAUUAAACCACACACAUACAUCACUUAUGGGAUUCCGUAUUAUAAAAAAGAUGAAAAACAUAAGAGGGUGAAACCAGAGGGAAAGAGGAGGGGAAUUAUUAAGGGAGAAGAGGGAGAACUGUGAGAGGAAGAGAAGAAAAGAAAGAAUGAAAAAAGGGAGAUAGCUAGAAAAGAAAAGGGAGGGAGAAUAGGGAGGAAGAAGGAACUGAGGUAGGAGAGGGAGAAGAGAGACACGAAAGAAAAAAAACAGAAGAAAGAAGAAGGAAAAGAGGAGGGAGAAUAGAAGAGAUAGUUGGGGAGUUUGGGUUUUGUCCGAAGGUUGUGCUUGGAUUGACUGAAACUAAUAGUUGAAAGAGGAGGGAUAAUAGAAGAGAUAGUUGGGGAGAGAUAAUUCAUGGUAUAUUUCGACAUAAUUUGGUAAUUUUAUGCUAAAUAUGUGUAGUUACCUGCAGAAUUAUGGUGCAUCGGUUCAACCUUUUUAUCAUUCUACUGUUUUUACAUAAAGAAACACAGAAAAGAAGACAAGUAAAGGCGAAGGAGACUGUUAUAGAAGAAGAGUCCUAUAAUGUUCAAUGGUUUAGGUUUUAAGACGAGUGAUUGCUCAAUAUCAGAAGAAGAGUCCUGUCAUUUUAAUUUGUUUCUUAUCUGAAAGUGCAUGUAUUGCUCUAUAUAGUAUAUACUAUAUAGAGAGGCGAAUGUACUCCAAGUAAUACUAUCACGGCCUUUUACAAUUGUCUUUUUGUGUUUGUAUACUUAGAUCAACACAAGUUCGAAUCCUUCCUGUUUAUUCAUGUGGAUUAAAAAGAAAAGAAAAAAUCAAUGCCACAUGUACGUACUGGGAUGAAAAGUAAUGCAUUCUCUUGGGUCUAAUGUAUCUCUGUACGUGUCACAGCAGCGAGUUAGUGAUAUGCAACACAAAAAAUAUAUUGCACUCCCGCCCGUAAUUUGACACGCUCAAGAGUAAGAGGCGAAACAAAAUUCGCACGCGCGUGCGACGCAUGGCAAGACUAGUAUAUAUAAAUUGAAUUGAUUAUUCUAAAAAAAACUUGAAUUGAUUAAAUUAAUCAGAGACAGUGAUAUGCAAAAUUCAUAAACUCCGGGAAUGCCGAUCGAUCGAUCGAUCAUGUUAAAAACAAAGGAAGCUGAAACUGAAGAUAGAAGACAAUAAUAGAACUGGAUUUCAACUUCAACUUAAAUAUGAAACUUGAAACAAACUAAGGUAAAAACAUGCAGAAUUAGUCCACUGUGAUCCGAGUACUCCUUCACAGCAAGAAUUAAAACAAACAAAAGGAACAUCCAAAAAAUAAUAUCUAGGAUAGUGAUUUCCUCGUCAUGCAAAGCUUCAGUCUUAGGGUGUAGUCCGCAACAUAAAAUAUAUAGUAGGAGUUGCGAUCAAAACAAACCCGAAGAACAUAGACAAAAAUUUGAUACAACAUACUCUAUUCUCUCUUUUUAGAGUUCUACGAUGUUCAUGAGUUUCCACUAAGUCACGCAAUUCUUGUCGAGUUAUGGGGAGAGGUCGAUUCAUCAUGAUGGAGGAAACCAGUUCAUCAUAAGGUGGAUGUAGUCCUUCAAUGAUGUGGGAAAUUAGCUCACGUUCAUUAACAGGAGACCCUGCUUUUUCAAGUUCAUCAGCGAUUUCUCCAGCGUAGUUGAAGUACUUUGCCAUAAUAUUGUAUGAAUAUGCGUUCUGGAAUUUGCGGGCGUCCAGGUUUUGGAGGCAAGCCUUGAGCCGUAGGACAAAGGACUCUGCAGAUUGAGCCAAAAGGUUUUCCAAGUGUAGCCACAAAGCUUGUCCGCUUGUGCAGUCUUUUGUGUGUCGGAGUAGGUUCGGAGACAAGCUUGCAUUGAUCCAAGUCAGGAACAUUUUAUCCCUCUUGAUCCAACUCCUAUAGGCAGGGUUUUCGAUACUGCCUUGUUUAUUGUCAUCUUCACUAGUACUCAGGAAUUGUGGUGGACACUGCUCCCUUCCUUCGGCGAGAUUCAGCAUAUCAUAAGCCUCCAGAAUUGGGACAAACAAGGAUUUCCACAGUAGAUAAUUAUUGUAGGUCAGUUGGAUUGGCAUGAGUUGAGGCCCCGAAGGUUGAAGAAAGGUUGAGGAUGAUGAUGAUGAUGAUGAGCCGGCCGUGAUUGACAUCUCUUCCGUCGUGUUGAGUGUAAAGGCUUCUUGACACCCCUUUGGGAAGUUGAAGGAUAAAAAAGAAGAAGAAGAAGAAGAAGAAGGGAAUUAGGUUAGCUUUAGUCAUAACAUUCAACUAGGGUUUGUAUAUAUACAAGAUAAAUGCAUUAGUGUUACACUUGAACUAGUAAACCAAAGGACCAAAGGAAUCCUACUCUGCCUCUCCCUCUCCGUCUCCGUAAUCUCCGUAUGUACUUCUGUCCCUGUUUAGAAUUCAUAGUUUUGCAUAAUAUUUUGUUUUUUUUUCUCAAGCAAUGCAAUUUGGUUGGUCAUAGAUGGUCAUCGGUGUAAUAUUUGGUAAAAAUACGGGUAGUAACGACAAUGAUAAAGUUUCUCCAUCCAUAACAUUUUUUUUUUGUUUGAGAUUCUUCCAUAACAAAUAAGUUUCUCAACAGCAAACUCUGAUACAAAGUUUUUAGAAGAAAUUCGCGGCUGCAAAAUACCCACAGACAUUCAAAGCAACUCUUUCAAAAUACCAGAAAUAAGCUUAACUGCUAACCACGAGAGAAGGGAAAUGGAGAGGAAGAGACUGGUCUGGAAUGUACAUAGAAGGCUCCAACAAAGAACAAAAAGCUUUGAGGGGAGGAGAAAUUGAUCCAACAAAGCUGGUGGUUGAUCUUGUACCAUUGGAAAUGCGAACAUUUAUAAUCAACUUCUAGUCAAUAUGCCUGUCACUCAUGUUUUGUACUCCAAGCAAUUGUGUCAUUUGUUGCAUUUUGAUUUUUCCCAAAACAAUACUAGUAGAUUCUAUUCUAUCAAUAAAAUUAUCAUCAAAGCUUGAUCACUACUUCCAACAGAGAAGGAAAAAAUUAGUGUUGGACCAACACUUAAUUGGUCUAGUAGUAACAACUUAUCUAAUGAGAUUCACACUCUUUAAAGUUUGAUAUGAUGGACAAUUUUUAGAGUGUUCAGAUUAUAUGCCAUGUAAUACAAAUAUAUACGAUCUUUAUACAUGAAAAAUCAAAAUUACACCGUAUACUUGUACCACCGUGGGUAUACACAAAUUUCAUAUAAUUUUGCUUGUUUUUCGUAAGUCGCGGCUCACGACUAUUGGGCCCUUAUUCAAGCUAUACAUGCCCAAGUAUAAAGACAGGCCCAACUCUGCCAGCCUAGGCGAACAAUAAAAAAACUAUAUUUUUGAUAAAAAGCUGAGCGGUAAAUUUUAUUAAUCAGAAGCCAAAAUGGUGCGGAUACAUGCCCUGCCUUGUCAAACGUUUGUGCAAGUUAAAGAUUUAACAUGCUAGCACAAUUCAUUACAAAUCUCGUUCACUUAUUUCAAAAGUGAACCUAAUUAGACUAUGAUAACAAACCAUAACAAUUAGACACACAAAGGCUUAAGUUCCUAAUAAAAGGAAUGACUGUCAAUAGACUAUCGAAAUACUUAGACCUGCCCAAACAAAGGGUGACCCAACCUGCAUCCACCAAAACCCUUUACCUUGAACACCGUCGACCAUGACCACCGCGAAGCCACAAAAUCCUCCAUCCACGCCAUUAGCCUCCGAACAAGAUAGAUCCACCAUCUUCCUCACCAUGACUGCAAGCCACGACUCCCCUUUGAUCAGUCUGCCCCAAUCGGACUAGCUUUGUCGCAUACACCAAGAACCAAAAACUUCAGGCGAAAUCGUGCCGCCGCUGCAAUUCAAAGGUUGGAAGAGACAACCACCUUCCUUGCACAAGCCUGCAAGCCGAGAUCCCUUUGCUCAAACCUUAAGCUAAAAACCAUAGAAGAAACUUACUUGGCAGUUUAUAGAUCUCGUCCGGCAGCCACAACUCAACGUCGCCAAAGCCCAGAGGCCGGCCCCGACCGAGAUGGGUUUUGGAGUGGAAGUCGCCGCUCUUAGGGUUUGCUCUCAGACGAAGAUACAAGAUGAGAAAACUGUAUUGGUAAAUGGUUAGUGUUAUUAACACACCAUUUUAUAUUAUUAACACAUUUUAUCUAUAAUAAAAAUUAUACAUGAAAUAAAUUUAAACAGUAAAUUUGUAAAUAAAAUUAAAUAAAAUGGAGUGUUUAAUAACAUUAACUUUGGUAAAUUGGUAACGUAUAUGAAUAUGUUUAAAGAAAUUGGAUAGAAAUAUAAGAGACCAAGGUCCAAAGCCGAAAGCUAGUAGAGAUCACUGCGAAACCGCCGCCGGAGCAAUCUUAGGUACGUUUUCCGUCCGCCAAAAUCUCCGUCGUCUCUUGCAUUUCCCGCCUGCCAAAACGACGCAGUAUUGUUUCCCCUGUGCUUUCCACUAAUCAGUUUCGUUGUCAUUUGUUAAUGAAGGAUAUUCGAGAUGGGGAAAGAUAGCCAGAACCAGAACCAGACGACGUUGGCUAUGGAGAUCGACAAUCCGAAGGCCAACACCUCCGAUCAGAUCGGUCCUAAAUUCUCCAUCAACGGUUCGUUUCCCGAUCCGUUGCUUUCCGAUUUCGUUAUCUUCGUUGCUCGAUUGAUAUUUCUUAUCGAAUUUCUGUACGACUUGUUGAUAUUCGGUUGUUACAGUUUUACAGCUGUUGAAAUCUGCUCAGAUGCAACAUGGAUUGCGCCACGGGGAUUACACUCGUUAUCGGUAUGUUUUGGUUGUGUUUGGUUCAGUUUUUGCUUGAUGAGACUGUUGUUUUGGUGAUGAUGUGUGUUUGUCUGCGUUGCGAAAUCGGAAUUGUUGUGAUUGUUUAGUGGAAUUGAGUAUUAGGUUCAGUAUGUUGUGAUUGUUUUUUUUUUUUGUAUAUUUUUGCAGGAGGUAUUGCACUGCAAGGUUGAGGAGGCUGUACAAGUCAUUGAAGUUCACUCACGGCCGCGGCAAGUACAACCGCCGAGCAAUAACCGAAUCAACUGUCACUGAAGUGAGGUGCGUCCUUUUUGUAAUACGUUUUGUUUGUCUAAUUGCAUGAACCGAUCUUGUGCUGAAUAGUUGUGGCAUACCAUCAGUUGUUCUUGCUUUUCUUCAGUUGAGGCAUUUAGUUAGGAUCACUAAGUGUACUUGUGUGAGUCUUCUAGUUACAUUACUUCACUAGCAUAUCCGUAAAUAACAACUGCUUUUAGUUUUGUCCUUAACAGUUUCAAUCUUGGCUUUUCAUAGGUUUCUCCAUGUUGUUCUAUAUACGGCAGAGAGGGCUUGGAGCCAUGCCAUGGAAAAAAGGCAAGUUCUCGAUGGUCCAAAUGCUCGUCAACGAAUCUAUCUGAUUGGUAGGCUGAGGAAGGCAGUAAAAUGGGCUACUCUUUUUGCACAGUUGUCUGCAAUCAAGGGAGAUUCCAGAACUUCCUUAGAAGCAGAGGUACAUCAAUGUUGUUUUGAGUUGUACAUGGUCAUCAUGUCAUGUCCUUAAUUUAUAGAUAUUGUUUUAUUUAUAGAUCUCAUAACAUGAUGUUUCCGGAUGUCCCACAUGAAACUGUUUAUGGAUAUGUGGUGUGCUUAACUUAUGAUUUAAAUGGACUUCAGAUAAAUUAUUUCCAAAAGACAUACCUUUUCUUAUUACCUUGCUAACUUUUAAAGUCACUAUGCAGGCUUAUGCCUCCUUUAUGAAAGGGAACCUGUUGUUUGAACAAGAUCGAAAUUGGGACACAGCAUUACUGAACUUUAAAAGUGCCAGGUGCAUUUUUGUCUCAUGUUAUAUACAUUGAUAUUGGUGAAUUUUCUUGCUGCUUUUAUUGGAAGCGUUUCAAUGUCUCUUUGAUAAGCAAGUCACACCUAAAAGUAUGAAAAAACAGAACACUACUACUGUGCCUCAAAUAAUGCAAUGUCGUCAUAUCUUUCCUGUCAUAUGAUGAGAGCUCUAACCUUCUAAUUACUCCUUCAGAAGGUCCUCUAAAUUUUUCCCUUGUAGAAAGUCUUACCUAUUUUCUUAGAAUGUGUGUCCCCAUAUUUGAACUAGGGUAAAUAUAAAGAUUUAACAUCUAAAAAGAUCACCAGAAAGAAAGAAAAUCUGAGAUAUUAUUUCAGAUUGAGCCUACAGUACUACAAUUCUUUAUGAGCACUAACAGGAUUUUGGGUAUGUAUGUACAGAGUUGAUCAUUCUUUUGGUCAGUGAAUAUAGUUUGGUUAACUUUGUAGUUAUGUUUUAGGGCGGUUUAUGAGGAACUUGCAAAAUAUGGAGACCUGGAGAAUCAAGUUUUAUGCCGUGAGCGUGUUGAGGAAUUAGAACCUAGUAUCCGGUACUGUCUACACAAGGUUGGAGAGUCAAAUCUACAAGGCUCUGAACUUCUACAUAUUGGUGAAAUGGAAGGACCUGCUUUGGACCUAUUUA